AUGGCGGCCGCGGGAGAUCCUCUCCAAGGUCAAGCACGUCCAGGCCAAGCCUGCUGGCCGCCCUCGCGGGUGACUGCCUCUGCGGUGACGACGGCGGCAAUCUCGUCGUCCCCACGCCCGAUUCAUCUCCAAUCCCGCCGCCAACACCCAACCCCACCCCCACCGGCGACCUCUCCUAACCCCAUCACCAUCGGCGACCUCCCUCCCUUGCUCCUCCCUCCCACGUCACCGCCGCCGCCACACACUGCCGAUCCCCUCACAUCUCGUACCCUCUCCAGUCCCCUUCCCUCCCCUGCCCUCAUCAGAAGAGGAAGAGAAGAGGGUUAG
rnacentral:rRNA from 1 species